rnacentral:rRNA from 1 species
GACGAACGCUGGCGGCGUGCUUAACACAUGCAAGUCGAACGGAAAGGCCCUGCUUUUGUGGGGUGCUCGAGUGGCGAACGGGUGAGUAACACGUGAGUAACCUGCCCUUGACUUUGGGAUAACUUCAGGAAACUGGGGCUAAUACCGGAUAGGAGCUCCUGCUGCGUGGUGGGGGUUGGAAAGUUUCGGCGGUUGGGGAUGGACUCGCGGCUUAUCAGCUUGUUGGUGGGGUAGUGGCUUACCAAGGCUUUGACGGGUAGCCGGCCUGAGAGGGUGACCGGGCACAUUGGGACUGAGAUAGGGCGCAGACGGCUACGGGAGGCAGCAGUGGGGAAUAUUGCACAAUGGGCGCAAGCCUGAUGCAGCAACGCCGGGUGCGGGAUGACGGCCUUCGGGUUGUAAACCGCUUUCGCCUGUGACGAAGCGUGAGUGACGGUAAUGGGUAAAGAAGCACCGGCUAACUACGUG